rnacentral:ncRNA from 1 species
GAACUGGAGAGUUUGAUUCUGGCUCAGAUUGAACGCUGGCGGCGUGCUUAACACAUGCAAGUCGUACGCGAAAGGGACUUCGGUCCCGAGUAAAGUGGCGCACGGGUGAGUAACACGUGGAUAAUCUGCCUCUAUGAUGGGGAUAACAGUUGGAAACGACUGCUAAUACCGAAUACGCUCAUGAUGAACUUUGUGAGGAAAGGUGGCCUCUGCUUGCAAGCUAUCGCAUAGAGAUGAGUCCGCGUCCCAUUAGCUAGUUGGUGGGGUAACGGCCUACCAAGGCAACGAUGGGUAGCCGAUCUGAGAGGAUGAUCGGCCACACUGGAACUGAAACACGGUCCAGACUCCUACGGGAGGCAGCAGUGGGGAAUAUUGCGCAAUGGGCGAAAGCCUGACGCAGCGACGCCGCGUGAGGGAUGAAGGUCUUCGGAUCGUAAACCUCUGUCAGAAGGGAAGAAACUAGGGUGCUCUAAUCAUCAUCCUACUGACGGUACCUUCAAAGGAAGCACCGGCUAACUCCGUGCCAGCAGCCGCGGUAAUACGGAGGGUGCAAGCGUUAAUCGGAAUCACUGGGCGUAAAGCGCACGUAGGCUGUUAUGUAAGUCAGGGGUGAAAGCCCACGGCUCAACCGUGGAACUGCCCUUGAUACUGCACGACUCGAAUCCGGGAGAGGGUGGCGGAAUU